CCUACGGGUGGCAGCAGUGGGGGAUAUUGCACAAUGGGCGAAAGCCUGAUGCAGCGACGCCGCGUGAGGGAAGACGGUCUUCGGAUUGUUAACCUCCGUCUAUGGGGAAGAAAAUGACGGUACCCAAAGCGGAAGCUCCGGCUAACUACGUGCCAGCUGCCGCGGCAAUACGUAGGCAGCAAGCGUAGUCCGGAUUUACUGGGUGUAAAGGGAGCGUAGGCGGGAUGGCAAGUAGAAUGUUAACUCCAUCGGCUAAACCGGUGGCUGCGUUCUACACUGCCGUUCUUGAGUGAAGUAGAGGCAGGCGGAAUUCCUGGUGUAGCGGUGAAAUGCGUAGAUAUUAGGAGGAACACCAGUGGCGAAGGCGGCCUGCUGGGCUUUAACUGACGCUGAGGCUCGAAAGCGUGGGGAGCAAACAGGAUUAGAUACCCGAGUAGUC
rnacentral:rRNA from 1 species